UUGAUGGCGGCCGGCGCACGGGUGAGUAACACGUAUCCAACCUGCCGAUUAUUCCGGGAUAGCCUUUCGAAAGAAAGAUUAAUACCGGAUAGCAUAACGAGAAGGCAUCUUCUUGUUAUUAAAGAAUUUCGAUAAUCGAUGGGGAUGCGUUCCAUUAGUUUGUUGGCGGGGUAACGGCCCACCAAGACAUCGAUGGAUAGGGGUUCUGAGAGGAAGGUCCCCCACAUUGGAACUGAGACACGGUCCAAACUCCUACGGAAGGCAGCAG
rnacentral:rRNA from 1 species